CACGUAGGGGGCAAGCGUUGUUCGGAAUUACUGGGCGUAAAGGGCAUGUAGGCGGUUUGAUAAGCCUGGCGUGAAAGUCUAUGGCUCAACCAUGGGAUUGCGCUGGGAACUGUCGAACUUGAAUUAUGGAGAGGGAGCUAGAAUUCCAGGUGUAGGGGUGAAAUCUGUAGAGAUCUGGAAGAAUACCGGUGGCGAAGGCGAGCUCCUGGCCAAUAAUUGACGCUGAGGUGCGAAAGUGUGGGGAUCAAACAGG
rnacentral:rRNA from 1 species